CGGGUCUUUGGAUGAUAGGAAAUUUUAAAUAAAAAAAAUAUUUUGAAAAGAAUGUCUAAGGAUAUCUGGAGAUCUCAAGAUCCUACUAAAUGGUAAAAUUAUUUUUAAAUCUACAAGACAAGACAAGAUGUUACCAACCAUCAUAGAAUGUAAGGACAUUCCAAACAACAUAAAUGAUAUACCGAUCCAAAAGAAGCAGCUAACAUUUCGCACACGCCAUGCAUUGCAUCCAGCAAUCCCGAGCUAGACCAUUUUGCUGAUAUAUCUUUGUUGAUAUGCAGAGAUCUGUUGGAGGUAAAUCAUGUUCUUGACGAAAGGCUUUCGCCUUAACAAUAUUCUUAUGCUCAGGCCUUGAAUUUCGCCUCCAUCUUUGAUCAUCCACAAAAGCCAGAUCAGAUUCCUGGGACUUUUAUAGUUAGACAAAAUUCCAUGGUUUGUCUUUGAAUGACGUCCUCAUGACAGGAUCCGAUCUUAGAAAUAGUUUGUUAGGUAUCUUUUUGCGUUUCAGGAAAAAGGCUUAAGUAGUCAGAGGUCACAUCGAGGGGAUUUAUUACUGUUUCACGAGUGAUGAGAGUGAAUAUUCAAAGUAAUUUUCCUAUAAGGUUAAUAGUCCUGUAAAUGAGAUGAUUGAGAUGAUUGAAUACAGGAUAUGGUUCCAUGUGUUUGGCAAUAUGCCAUCACCAUCAGUAGGUCCCAUGAUGUUAAAAGUUUUGUCUCUGGCCAUCUUAUGUAGAUGACAGACUGAUGCCAUUACCUACUCAAGCUGAUGCCUUGGACCUUUUGUUCAGAACUAGAGAUGACCCGAUUAAAAAUGGCAAUCUCCGUCUUCACAAGAUAGCUUCUAACAACGCAGAGGUCAUGAAUAAAAUUCCCGUUGAUGACUUAGCAGAGAACCAAAAAGCAGGUUGACAUUCUAAUAUAUCAAUCCAAUCAACUCAUUGAGUAAUUCGCCCAACUGGCUGCUGCAUUAAUUCUCUUACCAUGUGAUCUUUUCUUACGGUUUCUAUCUUUAAAUAAUAAAAACAUAUCAAUACCAAUACAUUUUAAUAUAUAUAUUACCUACAUUAAAUAUGUUAUCAUUGAGUCCAAGCGGAUAUGGUGUUUGCAAACGGUUAAUCCAGUCAAGUGCUGCGAUGCAUGUUGCUUUGAAUUUAUAGGAAUUACUUUUUUAUCUGUAAAUAAUAUAUGUUCUACUAGAUAAAUGGUUAAUUUUUCCAAACUAUGUCUGGUCUUAUAAAACAAGUCAAUGGUUUAUUUUUAAAAAAAUUUUAUAAACAUGUUCUCGUUAUCGGGCUUUGAAAGGUCUCCCUGUGUAAACCAUUUUAAUCGAACAAUGUAAAAACGUUUUUGUUUUUUUUAUGUCUAGGUUAAGACCUGAAAUUAAAACGUGUGUUUAAGUUAAACUUAAGUUAAGUUACUGCGUUUGUUUCUGUAUUUGUUCUAUAAAAAUCUGAUACAUAGUUUAUUAACCUUUACAUUACGAGUUAUAAAUAUACGUAGGUCUUAAUCGAAGAGGAAACACAUCGAUAAACAUUAAAAAUAAGAUUUAUAAUAAAAAAAACUACAAACACAAGCUCAGUAGCCAAAAGUUUAAACAUAAAUUCCGUUUAAUGGCACAGGGUAAUCGCCAAAGACAUGGAACACAAAAACAAAAACUCACAAACAAGAAUCAUGGAACAACAGCACAAAACACCACAAUAAACACAGUGUCAAUGUCGAUAUAAGUCGACACAUGUCACAAAUUCGGAUAUUUGCCUCAUCUAGGUCUCUGCAAAUGCUCGCACUGGUUUAAUAACUUAAAUUAGCAAUCAAAUUUUAUAAAGCUCUUAUAUGUCGAUUAUCGAUUAGUGAUAAAGGAUAUAAGCUAUGCAGUCACUUCAUUUGGCACACAUAGUAUGUAAAACCGCAAAAUAUUGCAGGACGAAACGUAUGAAUUCUUUACAAGAAUGUCACAAAAUAGAAUGACUUAAGUUACCCGGUGUGUACAAAGUGUGUUUGGCAUACCAUAGUGAAUGUAAAAAAAACAUUAUCAAAAUUGAAGAAUAAAAAACAUAAGAAUAUAAUAUAGUGAGAAAUGCGUUGAAACUUUACAAAUGCUAAAGACAUAGGAUAGUUUAUUGGUAAAUGCGAUGUCCAACGUGAUUUAUUAUUCAGUAAACUUAUUAGGUACAAAUAAUCUGACAACUAACAAAUAGUUUUUUUAAAAUGUGUGAAGUAAAUUAAUUGGAGACACAAUUUAUACAAUUGGAAACACUGGUAUAAAUCAUUAAACUCGUUAAAAAAAAACUACGCAUAUUGAAAAUGUUGAAAAAUUUGUAAAGGUCAAAAAAUAUUUCUAGGCAAAAAUGUAAGCUCUUUUAAAAUAUCACAAAUCAAAUAAUGUCAGAAAGUAGCAUAUUGUUCGAAUCAAAGUUAAUAUCCGACGAGAUGAAUAAGCACGUUUUGCUUGAAAAACCAGAAUUUUACUAAUUUAUUACCUCAAUGAAAAAAAU